GGAGGGGGAGGGAGAGGGAAAGAGAAAUAAAUCUCAGCGCCUUCGUGCUUGAGAAUGUGAGGAGGAAACUCCAGAUGUGCCUUUGCGGCAGUAGGCAUUCCACGAACCUGGGAGCUCUCUCCAUUCCCAGCGUCCACAGGCUGGAAAGGCAAAGCCUAAACUGGGGUUUGGCAAUAAUAGGCACUGAAUGAAAGAGUGGGAAGUUCAUGGCUUGUGUGCAGAUGAAGGAACAGUUGCGAUUAAAGACAUCAGCAACACUGACAGAGGAAGGCACCUUCUGAAGUCUUCUACCCAAGCUUUUCUGGAAACUGUGAUGACAGCUCCUGGUGGGAAAAAUCACCAAUGAUCACAGUAUUGUCCUGCUUCUAGAAGAGAACCAAGGCUGGUGUCAGCUCUAGACUGAUUGUGCUCCAACUUUGUGUCCCUGUCUUUUGGAACCCCUUCAUCAUAUUCUGCAGG